rfam:Cicer arietinum chromosome Ca5, whole genome shotgun sequence.
AUAUCUUUUUCGGCUUUUUGGCUAAGAUCAGGUGUAGUUUCUGUCUUUAUCAGUUUAAUAUCUGAUAUGUGGACUAAUUGUCUACAUGAUAUUAAAUUACUUUUUUGAGGGAGAGAGACCUUUACUGCUGCUGGGUCUUGCUGUUGGGUGUCAUUUAUGUGUUGCACUAUGGCAUGGGCUUGGCGCAUCCCAC